rnacentral:rRNA from 1 species
UACGUAGGGUGCGAGCGUUGCCCGGAAUUAUUGGGCGUAAAGAGCUCGUAGGCGGUUUGUCGCGUCUGCUGUGAAAACGCGAGGCUCAACCUCGCGCCUGCGAGUGGGUACGGGCAGACUAGGAGUGCGGUAGGGGGAGAUUGGAAUUCCGUGGUGUAGCGGUGGAAUGCGCAGAUAUCAGGAGGAACACCGAUGGCGAAGGCAGAU